UGCCAGCCGCCGCGGUAAGACAGAGGUGGCAAGCGUUGUUCGGAAUCACUGGACAUAAAGGGCGCGUAGGCGGCCGGAUCAGUCGAUUGUGAAAGCCCUCGGCCUAACCGAGGAAGGUCAGUCGAUACUGUCCGGCUGGAGUCCGAUAGGGGAGAGUGGAACUUCUGGUGGAGCGGUGAAAUGCGUAGAUAUCAGAAGGAACGCCGGUGGCGAAAGCGACUCUCUGGAUCGGUACUGACGCUGAGGCGCGAAAGCCAGGGGAGCGAACGGGAUUAGAUA
rnacentral:rRNA from 1 species